rnacentral:lncRNA from 1 species
CGCAGCUAGACAGGGAAAGGGUGUUAUGUGACCCGGCUGGCUUCUUUUUCGCCCAGUUUAGAGCCGGGGACUGGUCGAUCCUUUUCCGAGAGCGAGAACUGCCGUCAAGAGUUGGUGAGCGAGAGGGAAAUAUGGCUAAAGCUUCGAGAGGAAGCAGUCAAGAGUUGGGAAGAUGUUGAAUAAUAACCUUAAUAAUCAUCUCAUUCAGGUCAACCUGCAUAUCAAUGAUAUCAUGCUUCCGGGUGGGUGUUUUAUGUGACAUGAUCAAAGAGCCAACAAGUCAAUAGUCUAAAUCAAGUAUGAUGGUAAAUAAAGGAUCGUAUAAGUUACAUUCGUAUGAGAUAACAN